UCAAUCUCGUGCGGCUAGAAGCCGCUUGUCCCUCUAAGAAGAAGUGAGACGCCGGUAGACGGAAAUCCCGGCGCCUAUUUAGCAGGUUAGAGUCUCGUUCGUUAU
rnacentral:rRNA from 1 species